rnacentral:lncRNA from 1 species
AUCCAGUUUGGCUCUUGGGGCCUGGACGUCCACCUCCACGCUGGGCAGAGACACCUCCACAUCAGGGGCUGUGACUUCCGCCUUGGAGACUUUUAGGUCCAGCUUGGGGCCCUUGAUGUCCACCUGGGGGCUCUUGAGGUCCACUUUGGGCAUCUUGAAACUGGGCAUCUCCACCUUGGGCAGGUGCCCUUUGAGGCCAGCUCCCUCGGGCACGUGGCCCUCCG